rnacentral:rRNA from 1 species
UACGGAGGGCUCAAGCGUUGUUCGGAUUCAUUGGGCGUAAAGGGUGCGUAGGCGGCGCGGUAAGUCGGGUGUGAAAUCUCGGAGCUUAACUCCGAAACUGCAUUCGAUACUGCCGUGCUUGAGGACUGGAGAGGAGACUGGAAUUUACGGUGUAGCGGUGAAAUGCGUAGAUAUCGUAAGGAAGACCAGUGGCGAAGGCGGGUCUCUGGACAGUUCCUGACGCUGAGGCACGAAGGCCAGGGGAGCAAACGGG